rnacentral:rRNA from 1 species
CGGGACGGGUGAGUAAUGUCUGGGAACUGCCUGAUGGGAGGGGAUAACUACUGGAAACGGUAGCUAAUACCGCAUAACGUCGCAAGACCAAAGAGGGGGACCUUAGGGCCUCUUGCCAUCGGAUGUGCCCAGAUGGGAUUAGCUAGUAGGUGGGGUAACGGCUCACCUAGGCGACGAUCCCUAGCUGGUCUGAGAGGAUGACCAGCCACACUGGAACUGAGACACGGUCCAG